rnacentral:rRNA from 1 species
UACGGGGGGGGCAAGCGUUGUUCGGAAUUACUGGGCGUAAAGGGCUCGUAGGCGGCCAACUAAGUCGGAUGUGAAAUCCCCAGGCUUAACCUGGGAACUGCAUCCGAUACUGGAUGGCUUGAAUCCGGGAGAGGGAUGCGGAAUUCCAGGUGUAGCGGUGAAAUGCGUAGAUAUCUGGAGGAACACCGGUGGCGAAGGCGGCAUCCUGGACCGGCAUUGACGCUGAGGAGCGAAAGCUAGGGG